CUACACUGCUACUGGGGAUAUAAAAUGAUCCAGAGAAGAUUAGCAUGACCCCUGAGCAAGAAUGACAUGCAAAUUCAUGAAGUGUUCCAUAUUAUU
rnacentral:snRNA from 1 species